rnacentral:lncRNA from 1 species
GUUCAGUUUAGGGUUUAAAGCCCUAAUGUUAACUAAAAGGAAAAUUCAGUUUAGGGUUUAAAACCCUAAUGCUGAUUGCAUGGAAAAGCUCAGUUUAGGGUUUAAACCCUAAUGCCGGCUAAAAGGAAAAAGUUCAGUUUAGGGUUUAAAACUCUAAUGCUGACUUAAAGGAAAAUUCAGUUUAGGGUUAAAAACCCUAAUGCUGAUUGCAUGGAAAAGCUCAGUUUAGGGUUUAAAACCCUAAUGCUGGCUGAAAGGAAAAAGUUCAGUUUAGGGUUUAAAACCCUAAUGCUGACUAAAAGGAAAAUUCAGUUUAGGGUUUAAAACCCUAAUGCUGAUCACAUGGGAAAGCUCAGUUUAGGGUUUAAAACCCUAAUGCUGGCUGAAUGGAAAAAGUUCAGUUUAGGGUUUAAAGCCCUAAUGCUGACUAAAAGGAAAAUUCAGUUUAGAGUUUAAAACCCUAAUGCUGAUUGCAUGGAAAAGCUCAGUUUCGGGUUUAAAACCCUAAUGCUGGCUGAAUGGAAAAAGUUCAGUUUAGGGUUUAAAGCCCUAAU